GAUGAACGCUAGCUACAGGCUUAACACAUGCAAGUCGAGGGGCAGCAUUAAAGUUUGCUUGCAAACUUUAGAUGGCGACCGGCGCACGGGUGAGUAACACGUAUCCAACCUGCCGAUAACUCGGGGAUAGCCUUUCGAAAGAAAGAUUAAUACCCGAUGGUAUAUUUUCACCGCAUGGUGAAACUAUUAAAGAAUUUCGGUUAUCGAUGGGGAUGCGUUCCAUUAGGCAGUUGGUGAGGUAACGGCUCACCAAACCUUCGAUGGAUAGGGGUUCUGAGAGGAAGGUCCCCCACAUUGGAACUGAGACACGGUCCAAACUCCUACGGGAGGCAGCAGUGAGGAAUAUUGGUCAAUGGGCGCGAGCCUGAACCAGCCAAGUAGCGUGAAGGAUGACGGCCCUAUGGGUUAUAAACUUCUUUUAUAUGGGAAUAAAGUUUGGUAUGUAUACCAUUUUGUAUGUACCAUAUGAAUAAGGAUCGGCUAACUCCGUGCCAGCCGCCGCGGUAAGAC
rnacentral:rRNA from 1 species